AUUGAACGCUGGCGGCAUGCCUUACACAUGCAAGUCGAACGGCAGCACGGGAGCAAUCCUGGUGGCGAGUGGCGAACGGGUGAGUAAAGUAUCGGAACGUGCCCAGUCGUGGGGGAUAACGUAGCGAAAGUUACGCUAAUACCGCAUACGAUCCAUGGAUGAAGGCGGGGGAUCGCAAGACCUCGCGCGAUUGGAGCGGCCGAUAUCAGAUUAGGUAGUUGGUAGGGUAAAGGCGCACCAAGCCGACGAUCUGUAGCUGGUCUGAGAGGACGACCAGCCACACUGGGACUGAGACACGGCCCAGACUCCUACGGGAGGCAGCAGUGGGGAAUUUUGGACAAUGGGCGAAAGCCUGAUCCAGCCAUGCCGCGUGCAGGAUGAAGGCCUUCGGGUUGUAAACUGCUUUUGUACGGAACGAAAAGGUUUGGCCUAAUAAGCUGAGCUCAUGACGGUACCGUAAGAAUAAGCACCGGCUAACUACGUGCCAGCAGCCGCCGUAA
rnacentral:rRNA from 1 species